rnacentral:rRNA from 1 species
AACGAACGCUGGCGGCAUGCCUAACACAUGCAAGUCGAACGAGACCUUCGGGUCUAGUGGCGCACGGGUGCGUAACGCGUGGGAACCUGCCCUUAGGUUCGGAAUAACUCCCCGAAAGGGGUGCUAACACCGGAUAAUGUCUUCGGACCAAAGAUUUAUCGCCUUUGGGUCGGCCCGCGUUGGAUUAGCUAGUUGGUAGGGUAAAAGCCUACCAAGGCGCCGAUCCAUAGCUGGUCUGAGAGGAUGAGCAGCCACACUGGGACUGAGACACGGCCCAGACUCCUACGGGAGGCAGCAGUGGGGAAUAUUGGACAAUGGGCGAAAGCCUGAGCCAGCAAUGCCGCGUGAGUGAUGAAGGCCUUAGGGUUGUAAAGCUCUUUUACCCGGGAUGAUAAUGACAGUACCGGGAGAAUAAGCUCCGGCUAACUCCGUG